UCUUGUAUCCUCCUCUCCAGUAACAACAGUCCCUGCGGCACACAACGUCUGUCUGCUACACCUGAGAGAGGCAACACUGGCAGACUGGCUGGCUGGCGGACCGUCACACAGCUGGCUGGUAGAGGGAGACAGAUGACUGGGACACUCACUCACUGGAUGUGCGCAGCGAGACUGUGUCCAGGCAGGCAGUGUGGGAGAUCACAGCUAUACAGUGUGUACAAAGAUAGGACUGACCUGGCUAAUCUAGCCACGAGGUGAAUUUCCUUCUUCAGGUAGAGAGAUUAAACUCCACAACCACCUGCUGGUACACACCAGUCGUGUAGUGGCAGGCGCUGCCCGGGUUCAGAUCCUGGCCCUCACUACAGCAACAGGUCUACAGGGAGGAUGCCAGGCAAGUCUAUCUAUUCCCAGAUUAUACCAGCUUCACGGGAUGUCCCAAUGAAUCAGCAGUUUACAGAACACAAGCUACCCAAUCCAGCUUCUCCAGUAUUCCUCUGUCAAGUGGAGUUGUACCUUCAAAAACUCUUCCGACAACUGAGAUAUUUUCAAAUCCAGAGCAAGGUCACAGAUGGGAAUCUGUAAUAGCAUAAGGAAGAAGAUGUGAUGUCCAGCGAGCUGCCGUUCCUCACCUGAUGAUCGUAAUGAAACAAAAAGUGGAAAUCAAAACAAACUUCGAACAAAGUGAAUGGUACUGGAUACUUGCUCCUCACUGCGAUAACAGAAGCAUGGCUACAGAUACUGGGGACUUGCUGGGCCUACUUCUCCCUGUGUCCUCACUGUGAUAACAGA